rnacentral:rRNA from 1 species
CCAGCGUAUAUUAAAGUUGUUGCGGUUAAAAAGCUCGUAGUUGGAUUUCUGUCGAGGAUGGCCGGUCCGCACUUUGUGCGUGCAUCUGGUUCAGCCUUGGCAUCCUCCUGGGGAACGUAUCUGCGCUUAAUUGCGUGGUGCGGUAUCCAGGACUUUUACUUUGAGGAAAUUAGAGUGUUCACGGCAGGCAAACGCCUUGAAUACAUUAGCAUGGAAUAAUAAUAUAGGACCUUGGUCCCAUUUUGUUGGUUUCUGGAACUGAGGUAAUGAUUAAUAGGGAUAAUUGAGGGCAUUCGUAUUAACGUGUCAGAGGUGGAAUUCUUGGAUUACGUUACGACGAACUACUGCGAAAGCAUUUGCCAAGGAUGUUUUCAUUGAUCAAGAACGAAAGUUCGGGGAUCGAAGAUGAUUAGAUACCAUCGUAGUCCGAACCAUAAACUAUGCCAACUAGAGAUGGGCGAUCGUUAUUUUAUUGACUUCGUCCGCACCUUAUGAGAAAUCAAAGUCUUUGGGUUCCGGGGGGAGUAUGGUCGCAAGGCUGAAACUUAA